AUCUUCUUACUCUUUGCUUUUUUUGAGAUAAUCCGUGUACCUUUUUUACAAACUUUUUUUCCUAACCGGCACCCGAACCGCCGUGAUGUUGAAUAUCCUGUGAGAGAACUUGGUCACUCAUUACCACUCUCGGUUUCAAUUUUAAUGCCUGAAGAAGAGAUUCCUACAUUCAUUGCUAACCCUGCGCCGCUUCCGUCCGAAGGAAUUUC
rnacentral:lncRNA from 1 species